CGGCGUGAGCUCUCUCUUUCUCAGUCAAUCGCUCUCUCUCUCUCUCUCGCUCUUACCCGGCCUGGCGCAUGCGUGCGAAAGAGAGCGAUGGCGAAUCGAGUGGCGGGCCAGCCAAGUUUUGUGACCAUAUAUGGUCAUGUUUCGAGGCGAAAAAGCGGCCGACGCUCGCUGGCUUUCGCUCUCUCCCCACUCAUACAAACUCUCCAAAACACCAAUACCAAAGACAUAUACAUAUAUGUGCAUGUUGUCUCGGCGAAGGUUUUCUCCAUUUUUGCGAUAAGCAGGCUGGCGGGCGUCGUCUCUUGAAAAACCGGCAAAAAAAAAAAAUAUCUGGUGUUUAGGCCAAAACGGCUUUAAUGACGCGAUGCGAUUGCUAUUUUGGAGCUUACCAACUACUAUAUGGCAUGUGGGAGCUAACUGGACUGCCUACGUCAUGAGAUUAUGCAAAUUAUCAGAUUCAAAUGCAAAGUAUCUCUCAGAUACUCAGAUUGAUCUUCAAACGAGGGGAUUCCUAACCAAGAGGGACUACUAUUCCCUAGACUACAUAGCGCCCAAGAUACUGGAGGAUCGGAUAUCUGGAUCUGGAGAGUCUCAGGCCUCAUUUUUUUUGUUUUUUUUUCAAAGAAACCAUACCGUCUAGCAAGUUUACUUUAAUAUUUAUAUUUCUAGGGGAACUAGACUGUUUCUACGUGGAAUGUGGAGAAGGAGAUGGCCCAGAUACGACUAGACUGCAAGCCGCCGUUAUCAGAGACCCUGCCGGGGGACUACCAGAAGGUGAGUUUUUUGUUUACUUUUCCGGGCCAGUGAGGAAGUUUCAGUGACGAAUUCCCCCAGAUCUUAUGACAUCAGAGAACUAUAGAUGGAAAGUCUCUCGAUUUCUCGAUUUUGGGGCGUGGGAAAAAAUAGAAAGUGUUUGGCGAAUUGAAUUGCAAAUUGCCAUCAAAAAUAGAAAUCGUCAUUUUUGAGGGGUUUUCCUUUCCAUUUAUUAUCCUGAUUGGGGUUUUCUUUUAGAUUUUUUUUACUAAAUUCUUAAUUUAGUUUGUAUAUUGUUUUGUAGCACUUGAUUUUUGGCACUGGCACACAUAAAAAAACAAUUUUUUGGCAAAAAAAAUAGGAUUUCUUUCACUUUUAAGAUGCAUUUUUGCAUUUCACGUUCGUACUUCGUAAGAGUUCUUUUUUUGUUCGAUUUAGAGUUGACAGCGAGA
rnacentral:misc_RNA from 1 species